ACGUGGGGGGGACGGGGCGGGGCGGGCCCGUCCGGGAACGCCCGUCCUGAGGGUGCCGGUGCCCCCGAAACUCCCAGAGCCCGCCCGGCGGCGGGCAGGCAGGCAGCCAGAGCCCUAGCGGGGACAGGGGGAGUUUGCCGGGGAAGAGGGACAGCCCUACGAGCUCCGAGUUGGUUCCUUGGAGCGGCUGCUGUGAAUGGUAAUUGGAUUCUACAGUUAAGAGGACUCUAGGCUGUGAAUUUUAAGCACAUUGUGUUGUCUGUGUUGUGAUCUGAAUUAAGUUUCUACGGAGUGGCAAUAAUGCUGCUGCAUUCCUGGGGUUUGGUCUUCAGGUAGUUAGAAUCAGAAAAGGAAGAUCUUACAUUGGUAGAAUAUUGUUUGUAGUGCUGAAGAUGAUGGGCUAAAUCUG